rnacentral:rRNA from 1 species
GACGAACGCUGGCGGCGUGCCUAAUACAUGCAAGUCGAACGAGAGCGACCGGUGCUUGCACUGGUCAAUCUAGUGGCGAACGGGUGAGUAACACGUGGGUAACCUGCCCAUCAGAGGGGGAUAACAUCCGGAAACGGAUGCUAAAACCGCAUAGGUCUUCGAGUCGCAUGGCUUGAAGAGGAAAAGAGGCGCAAGCUUCUGCUGAUGGAUGGACCCGCGGUGCAUUAGCUAGUUGGUGAGGUAACGGCUCACCAAGGCCGUGAUGCAUAGCCGACCUGAGAGGGUGAUCGGCCACAUUGGGACUGAGACACGGCCCAAACUCCUACGGGAGGCAGCAGUAGGGAAUCUUCCGCAGUGGACGCAAGUCUGACGGAGCAACGCCGCGUGAGUGAAGAAGGUUUUCGGAUCGUAAAACUCUGUUGUUAGAGAAGAACAAGUGCUAGAGUAACCGUUAG